CCUACGGGUGGCAGCAGUGAGGAAUAUUGGUCAAUGGACGAGAGUCUGAACCAGCCAAGUAGCGUGAAGGAUGACUGCCCUAUGGGCUGUAAACUUCUUUUAUAAAGGAAUAAAACGACGCACGUGUUCCUUUUUGCAUGUACUUUAUGAAUAAGGAUCGGCUAACUCCGUUCCAGCACCCGCGGUACUACGGGGGAUGCGAGCGUUAUCCGGAUUUAUUGGGGUUAAAGGGUGCGCAGGCGGAGGCACAAGUCAGCGCGAAAUUCGCGGGGCUCAACCCCGCUCCGCCGUUGAAACUGGGUACCUUGAGUGCGCGAAGGGUGGGCGGAAUGCGAGGUGUAGCGGUGAAAUGCAUAGAUAUCACGCAGAACUCCGAUCGCGAAGGCAGCCUACCGGCGCGCAACUGACGCUGAUGCACGAAAGCGUGGGUAUCGAACAGGAUUAGAUACCCGGGUAGUC
rnacentral:rRNA from 1 species